CCUACGGGAGGCUGCAGUGAGGAAUAUUGGUCAAUGGACGAGAGUCUGAACCAGCCAAGUAGCGUGAAGGAUGACUGCCCUAUGGGUUGUAAACUUCUUUUAUAAAGGAAUAAAACGAGGCACGUGUGCCUUUUUGCAUGUACUUUAUGAAUAAGGAUCGGCUAACUCCGUGCCAGCAGCCGCGGUAAUACGGAGGAUCCGAGCGUUAUCCGGAUUUAUUGGGUUUAAAGGGAGCGUAGAUGGGUUGUUAAGUCAGUUGUGAAAGUUUGCGGCUCAACCGGAAAAUUGCAAUUGAUACUGGCAGUCGUGAGUACAGUUGAGGUAGGCGGAAUUCGUGGUGUAGCGGUGAAAUGCUUAGAUAUCACGAAGAACACCGAUUGCGAAGGCAGCUUACUAAACUGUGACUGACAUUGAUGCUCGAAAGUGUGGGUAUCAAACAGGAUUAGAUACCCGUGUAGUC
rnacentral:rRNA from 1 species